AUUGAACGCUGGCGGCAUGCUUUACACAUGCAAGUCGAACGGUAACAGGGAGCUUGCUCCGCUGACGAGUGGCGAACGGGUGAGUAAUGCGUCGGAACGUGCCGAGUAGUGGGGGAUAACGCAGCGAAAGUUGUGCUAAUACCGCAUACGUACUGAGGUAGAAAGUGGGGGACCUUCGGGCCUCACGCUAUUCGAGCGGCCGACGUCUGCUUAGCUAGUAGGUGAGGUAAAGGCUCACCUAGGCGAGGAUCAGUAGCGGGUCUGAGAGGAUGAUCCGCCACCCUGGGACUGCGACACGGCCCAGACUCCUACGGGAGGCAGCAGUGGGGAAGUUUGGACGAUGGGCGAAAGCCUGAUCCAGCCGUGCCGCGUGUCUGAAGAAGGCCUUCGGGUUGUAAAGGACUUUUGUCGGGGAGGAAAUCCCCAGCGCUAAUACCGCUGGGGGAUGACAGUACCUGAAGAAUAAGCACCGGCUAACUACGUGCCAGCAGCCGCCGUAAUAC
rnacentral:rRNA from 1 species